AUGCAAGGGGACCAGGCGGAGAAGAAGGGGAAGGUGAAGAAGGGGUGGCUGGCGGUGCGGGUCGGCCAGGCGGAGCAGCAAGGCGACGGGUUCCGACGGUUCGUCAUCCCCAUCGCCUACCUCUACCACCCGCUCUUCCAGAGCCUGCUGGAGGCGGCCCGGGACACGUAUGGCUACAACUCGGCCGGCCCGCUCCGGCUGCCCUGCUCCGUCGAUGAGUUCCUCCGCCUGCGCGCGCUCGUCGACCGGGAGACGGCGCACUCAUCCUCGCACCGCGUGCACGUGCACGCCGGCGGCCACCAGCAGCACGGCUACUCCUUCGCCCCGUGCACCCGCGCCAGACUCACCUCCUGA
rnacentral:rRNA from 1 species